rnacentral:tRNA from 2 species
AUUAGCUCAGUUGGUAGAGCAGUAGACUCUUAAUCUAUUUGUCCAGGGUUCGAGUCCCUGAU